ensembl:lncRNA
UUAACAAAUAAUGGAAGUCUACCUCACUCAAAACUAUCUGUCUCGCCCAAAUUGUCAUAUCAUAUCGAUUGGCUGUGUAAUCUCAUUUUAAGAAAAUAAAAAAAACUGUAGUGAAUUGUAUUGUACUACUACAGUACCUCUACAGUACCUUCAUAUUUUGGGUGUACAGGCAUUGGUCCAAGAUGGCCGCCACCUAUAAUGUUACAGCGUUCCAAGAGAGAAUGAAAUUUUAUGUAUGCUUAUAGAUUACAGUCAGGACUGGCUGGUCUUAAGCCCUUCAUCUCUGUAAAUAACGCUACGUGCCGCAUUUGUCUUUCUUUCUGUUGAUAAAUAGCUCCGUUCGGGGCCGCAUGUCUCUCCAUGACUAUCGGUGCAAGUAUUCGUACUCGCGCAGCAGCCGCGUCACAGCUCGAGUGCGCCAGACCAAACCUAUUUACACUCCGUCCCCAUCUAUAAAAGCUCACGGUUUCACUCCGAGAGUUCUCAUGGCUGAAAUGUAACGCACCUGUAAGCGGAUAUUUGAAUUGGAUCGCAAUGUUUAGAUAAGAUAAGAUAAGAUAAUAGUUUAUCAAUCCCCAGAUGGAGAAAUUAGGGAUUACGGUACAGUACUUUCGGAGUCUGAAUUCGGAUCGACGAAAAUGGGCGCGUGUAAAAGCACCUAAUGAGUAUUUGUGUUCCUGUGCGUAUUAGUUUUACACCUAUGCUCAUACAAUGAGAAGCCACGCUUCUGAUUCAGGCUGCAGUUUAAUUCCCGAUAACGUCGUUUUCCCAGCCAGCCGUCACAUGGCGUCCAGAACUGGUUGCGGUUUGAGUCAGGUAUUUAUGCGAAUGAUUUUGAGUGAGAGAGACUUUCUAUUAGCUACAUUAACCUCGUAGCUCUAGCGAAAAACUAUAGAUGCAGACUUCAGACAUCAAACGUUUUUUUUUAACAUGUUUUGAAGUCCGGAGGAAACGAUCUUCAUAUUCGAUCCCAGAGCAGAACUUUUCUCAAACUCUCACUUCUCGGCACGUGCCAAUGUGCAAAGAAUCAUGGGGGGGCGGGAGGAGACGUCCGUUCGUCAGGACUGCAGCUACCAAGAAGAAGCGUGAGAACUUAAUGCACUCCAGCUCUAAAGCGAGGUGGUUUCGUCGUAUUCCGACACACUGACACGCUUCGAGUCUUUACUACGACGUGAGAGAUUUUACAGAAAACCGAAAGUGCGAUACGACGAGAGCCUGAUCUGAUAUCGUGGUGUGUGUACUAUAGCGGCACUGCUAUUGUCUGGGUUUGAUGCUCAGGAGUGCGGUUUUUCUCUUUUGCUUGCACACAGUGUACACACAGCUUUAAAAUAACUCAACGCUAAUUAGGCUAGACACCUAGCAAAACAAGCUAAAUUUGAGCAAAACAAGCCCCAAGCUGUGUUAUUAACCACAUCCUUUAAAGGAUCAUUUAUAUAGGCAAUUUUUUUAAUUUAUUUAUUUAUUUAGUGCUCACACAACACUACUGUUUGAUAACUAGCAUGUUAGUCUUACUAGCUAGCAUGCUAGUCAGACAGGUAAGGUGAGUGUGUGUUACCUUAGCUAGUUCAUUUUAACCACAGUAUCACUUCUGGCGAUCUACAAACCAUACGAUUUUAAACAAAACAACCACCAUUAGGUACACAACUAGCUAUCCGGCUACAUUUGUAAACGUUCUGCUCAGUAUGAUGCGCUAUGAUGGUUUAUGAACACGCAAUGUUUGUCAGAACUCUCAUGGGGACGUUGGUCCGGUGUACUAAUACUAUAUGUGAAGCUGUCCUCAAAUCUGUCCUAAAUGAGGAACUCGGACCUUCGAUUUUUUUUUCUUUUCUUUUCUUUUUGUCAGUGAACGUUAUAGCAUUGUGUCUAAUGUGAAGUACUUUGCAGUUACUGUUUUCAGGAGUUUUGGAAUAAGACUCCUACGUAAAGACUCUACGUUAACGUUAAUAACACAGUUCUGUGUGUGCAAUUGGGAAAAACUGUAACGAACUGAAUUGAAGUAUCACCAUCAUUCAGCUUUAUGUUGACGCCUUUAUGGGCCACCAUACUUACUUCAACAGCAAAUCAGAAGACACGACAGCAAUCACGUAUAGUAACGAUCAUCAGGGGUGUAGCAAGACGUGAAAUUCACAUUCGAUACAGGAUACGGUGGUGUCUCGAUGCGAUAUCAAUACAGAGAAAUAUACGUAUUGAAUGAAAGCGUGCUUUUGAUUUCCGUUUUUGAAUCGAUCCAAAUGUUUAAGAUGAACAGUUACGGAAGCCCUUAUUUGAUUCUUUCUCGUUUUCUCGUGCUCUCGUCAUGACUUCAUUUUUGUAUGUUCUCGAAAUAACAACAUGUUUUUAGUUGUUCUGGGGGCAGCAGAAGCGUAGCGCGAUCCCGGAGCAGGGGACACCCAUCACUCUUCAUGCGGAGAUAAGGUCCAUCUCUACAGCGGGUAGUUAUUACAUAUAUGAUGAUGAUGAUGAUGAUGAUGAUGGCAAAGACAACAACAUGCAUACAAUACCAGUCCCAUUCACAAGGCGUGAGAUUUUCUCCUGAUAAAAUGAUGUUGUGAGAAAACAACUUUUGCUAUGUCGAAAUCACGAGUAAACAAUUUUUGUUAAGUCAUAAUCACGAGUAAAUAACGUCGAAAUCACGAGUAAACAACUUUUGUUAAGUCGAAAUCACGAGUAAACAGCUUUUGUUAUAUUGAAAUCACGAGUAAACAACUUUUGUUAAGUCGAAAUCACGAGUAAACAACUUUUGUUAAGUCGAAAUCAUGAGUAAACAACUUUUGUUAAGUCGAAAUCACGAGUAAACAACUUUUGUUAAGUCGAAAUCACGAGUAAACAACUGUUAUUUCGAAAUCACGAGUAAACAACUUUUGUUUAGUCGAAAUCACGAGUAAACAACUUUUUGUUAAUCGAAAUCACGAGUAAACAACUGUUAUGUUGAAAUCAGGAGUAAACAACUUUUAUGUCGAAAUCACGAGUAAACAACUUUUGUUAUAUUGAAAUCACAAAUAAACAACUUUUUGUCAUGUCGAAAUCACGAGUAAACAACUUUUGUUAAGUCGAAAUCACGAGUAAACAAGAAAGAAAAAAAUAAGAAUGCAUAGCCUCUUAGGGCUUCUGUAAAAAGAACAAUAAUUAAAAGGUAAUAAUGUGGCGGUGUGAUGUCGUGUGAUGGAUUCAGACUCUUCUAUCUCUGCGUUAGAUUUCCACUGGGGUCACUCCAGGUGGCAUGUCUGAAGCGCAGAGCUUUUUCUUAUUCUGCUGUUAGCUAGUUGUACCGUCACACUCACGUAGCUCUCUGUAGCUCUAGGUGUGUUCUUAAAUCCUGGGUUCUCCAGUCCCGGAUAUAUGAACUUCCCAAUCGCCGUGGCGAUUUCUGUAUCCUGGAUUGAACCGGCAACGACAGGCCUGAAUGAAGAGAGUUUGCUGAGUGCGUGCUUCGCUUUGUGGCUUCAUCUAGUUGAUGUCGCACAUGUUUGUGCUAUUAGCACCGAUGUAUUGUACAGGUAUUCGGCGUUCUGUGACAUCUCGCUCCGGCGUAACUUCUCAGGAAGCGCUUUCUACACCAGACCUCAAAGAUUUCAGGGAAUCUUCCAGUUCCUGUCUGACGCUAAGCGAAGCCAUUGCUGCCUUUCCCGAUCUAAUACGCUAUUUAAAAAAAAAAAACAAUUAUUAAAUUGAAAUGUUUAUUACACCUCACGUAACAUAAGCGGUAUUUUAUGAGGAAUAAACAAUACGAAGAUGCAUCGCAUUGAGAGCCUCUUAUCGAACAAUGUGAUACAGCAUAUCAUUACAGCGCUAGUGCGGAUAUAAAGUCAUUACAGCGAAGAGAAAUCCUUUCUUUUGAAUAACCCGGCUUCCUUUAAGGCUUUAAUUCGCCAUUGCAUUUGAAACUUUAUUGCAGUGUUUUCUGAUUUGCUGUUGCACUUCCGGGUUUUUUACAGACCGCCGUAAAUCGCGCAUCGGAAAUCAAACCGCAUCAGGACGAAGGUCAUGCGUUCCUCGAUCAGCAUCUCGACAUCAGCCUUAAAUAUUCCCUGCUACCUGUCAGUUUAUCCUUCCUAUCAGGGUGCCGUGUGAAUCGUAUUUAAGAUAUCCUUAUCACCGUCUUUGUGUGCGUCACUCACGUUUUGUAUUUAAAUAGCGGAUUUAUACCCGUCUUAAGUUUUCUGCUUGAGCUUCGAGACCACUCAUGCCUAAACUAGCAUGUAUCAGACUUGAAAAUGAAUGUAUUCGGGGUGACAUUUUCCAAAGUGACUUAACGUACUGUGUUUCACUGAUCCGGAAGCUAGCGUUCGGUCCACACCCACCUUCUCCCAGGACAUGAGAAGGAACGCAGAAAGGCGGCCGAGUAAUUUCAGGAAACAUGACGAUCGCAGGUGCAAAGGGCUUCAUUCCAGUGCUUGUUUUUAAAGUGUAAGAAUAGUCGCUUGUAUUUUUCAGAGUCAUUAUUCGCUGUACAAUGAGAAGGCCAGCAUUGUAAAGAGGACGCUUAUUUCCAUGGCUGCAUUCUGUAGAAUUAUUAUUAUUAUUAUUAUUAUUAUUAUUAUUAUUAUUAUUAUUAUUAUUAUUAUUUUGUGUGUGUGUGUAUGUGAGAAAGCUGUGUCAGGUAUUAAGCCUGCUGUAAUUAUGUACAGAAUUUGUGUAAGUUAUUACCGAGAUCCUAGAACAUGAUAG